GGGGUUAUAGCUCAGCUGGUUAGAGCGCCACGUUGACAUCGUGGAGGUCAUUGGUUCGAACCCAACUAACCCCACCA
rnacentral:tRNA from 1 species